UACGUAGGGGGCAAGCGUUGUCCGGAAUCAUUGGGCGUAAAGAGCUCGUAGGCGGCUUGUCGCGUCGGCUGUGAAAACCCGCGGCUCAACUGUGGGCGGGCAGCUGAUACGGGCAGGCUGGAGUUCGGUAGGGGAGACUGGAAUUCCUGGUGUAGCGGUGAAAUGCGCAGAUAUCAGGAGGAACACCGGUGGCGAAGGCGGGUCUCUGGGCCGAUACUGACGCUGAGGAGCGAAAGCGUGGGGAGCGAACAGG
rnacentral:rRNA from 1 species